rfam:Nicotiana attenuata strain TT chromosome 7, whole genome shotgun sequence.
UGUAUUCGAUUGUAUUCGACUGUAUUCACGGCGUGAAACAGGGGAUUACAUUAUUUUUAAACGGAAAGUGAAUCAAUUAACAUAAUAGACUCCU